AAAUAAAUUUAAUUUGACUUGUAAAUCAGACACGAAAUAAGAAAUAAAAUCAAUAUUAUAAUUGUAGUGUUUUGCACUAAAAUCGCAUCAACCCGGUAGAUUUUAUUAACUUUUAAUUUGAAGCAGCCAUUAUAUUAAGUGUCUGAAAUGGUUGAUGGUUUGACGGGUAUCUAUGAAGUAAUAUCGUGUUGUUUAAACACAAAAAGCAUAAGCUAUAUGAUAUUUGAUUUUUUUUCUUUAUCCACUUGCCAAGUAUAUAAUAAAUCAAUUUGAAAGAU
rnacentral:misc_RNA from 1 species